ACCCUUUGUAUACCAAACUUCGUUGCUUCGGCAUGGCCUCGCGCCGGCCGAUAGCCCCAAACCCUUGAAUCAUGAUGUCUGAGUCAAUAUUUAAUAUUUAAAACUUUCAACAACGGAUCUCUUGGUUAGGCCAUCGAUGAAGAACGCAGCGAAAUGCGAUAAGUAAUGUGAAUUGCAGAAUUCAGUGAAUCAUCGAAUCUUUGAACGCACAUUGCGCUCCCUGGUAUUCCGGGGAGCAUGCCUGUUCGAGCGUCAUUACAACCCUCACG
rnacentral:rRNA from 1 species